rnacentral:rRNA from 1 species
CCUACGGGAGGCAGCAGUGGGGAAUCUUGCGCAAUGGGCGAAAGCCUGACGCAGCCAUGCCGCGUGAAUGAUGAAGGUCUUAGGAUUGUAAAAAUUCUUUCACCGGGGACGAUAAUGACGGUACCCGGAGAAGAAGCCCCGGCUAACUUCGUGCCAGCAGCCGCGGUAAUACGAAGGGGGCUAGCGUUGCUCGGAAUUACUGGGCGUAAAGGGAGCGUAGGCGGAUAGUUUAGUCAGAGGUGAAAGCCCAGGGCUCAACCUUGGAAUUGCCUUUGAUACUGGCUAUCUUGAGUAUGGGAGAGGUUAGCGGAACUCCGAGUGUAGAGGUGAAAUUCGUAGAUAUUCGGAAGAACACCAGUGGCGAAGGCGGCUAACUGGCCCAUUACUGACGCUGAGGCUCGAAAGCGUGGGGAGCAAACAGGAUUAGAUACCCUGGUAGUCCACGCCGUAAACGAUGAGUGCUAGUUGUCGGUCGAUGCAUGCAUGUCGGUGACGCAGCUACGACAUUAAGACACUCCGCCGUCGGGAGGUACGGUCGGCGAGAAGUUAAACUAACUAAAUAGUUAAGUUAGUACGGCGUUGAGACGUUGCCGACGGACGACGACGAGGGGAGGUUAGG